AUGCUCGCUUCGGCAGCACAUAUACUAAAACUGGAAUGGUACAGAGAUUAGCAUGGCCUCUGUGUAAGGAUGGCAUGCAAAUUCAUAAUGUGUUCCAUAUUUUU